rnacentral:tRNA from 1 species
GCGGGGGUUGUAGAGCCUGGCCAAAUAGGCUAAACAAAAUUGGAGACGCGGGACUUAAGAUCUCAUAGGAAUGGGUUCUCAUAGGAAUGGGUUAUCCCGUCCCUUAGGGGUUCGUGGGUUCAAAUCCCACCCCCCGCA